UAUAAACUGCAGGACGUGAGGAACCAAUUUCGGAUUCAAUUCAACCGCUCGUUGUAAAUCUUAAAAAAUCCAAGAAAUAACAUUUCGUCUGAUGGAAACAACUUCUCAACACUCCUAUAAUUUCCAAGGUUAACAUAUCGAAAUGCCUUUGGGGGUUAUUACGAUUGCCCAAUGUUGUCUGUGACAUUAGCGAGAUACCAGAAAUACUAUGCUGGGUGCACAUGCCCGAUACACUCAUUUGCGAGCGUUGAGAGUUGCUGUUGUUAAGCUGUUUUAGAAUCAUACAAAAACCAUAGACUGCCAUGCGUCGAGUUCCCAUUUCGCUGCAACGAUAUGAAAUUUAUUUUAGCGAUUUUAUUCUUUCUGUGCGUGUGUGUUGUACAAUGAGGCGGCAGCCCUUGCCGCUGAAGGACUUCAUCGGGUCAAUCUGAUACUUACCAAGAACUCAUAGCUUUACGUAGAAUUUCUAUGAAAGCAUCUCUAACUAGGGCAGAUAUUUUUAGAAUUGGCAAAAUGAAAGACAUCAUGCGCAUGGCUUGAUCGCCUGGAAGCUGAAAAGAGUAAAAAAACCAAAUCGGGCGAUAAUUAUAUAUGAGAGCUAUAUCCAAUUCUGGACCGAUUUCUAUGAAAUUCGCAAGUAAUGUCGGCAGCAGUAAAAAAUUUCUUCAUGCAAAAUUUCGAGAGAAUCGGUUAAGAAAUUACCAAAUUUUUGAAGUAUUAGUCCAAAUCGGGCGAUAAAUAUAUGUGGGAGCUAUAUCCAAAUCUGAACCGAUUUUUAUGAAAUUCACAAUUAAUGCCGGAAGUAACAAGAGAACACUUCGUACAAAAUUUCGAGAGAAUCGGUUAAGAAA